rnacentral:misc_RNA from 1 species
GCAGACUAGUUUGGUGAGUUUCUCCGCGGGAGACUGACGCUACUACGGUGUGCUCGUGAUGGUGCUUUGUCAUGACUCAUGUGUAAAUACUCAGUGACCCUUCUCUUGUUAACUUGUUACACUGAAACUAACAAAGGGUGGAGGCGUGCAGGAGGCCUCAGACAGGAGCGGUGUACAGCCUGGCGGGGUGGGCCCUGGCAGGAGGCUGUAGUAGUAGUGGUGGUGGCCGCAGUUCAACAGGGAGAGGGCCAUCCUCACCCAUGUCAACACAAUGUUCAAGGGCAUAAAGAAACGCUUCAACUCCUCCAGGUCAGGUCGCGGCCGGAAGAGUGAGAGAAGCCCCCCACCAGGCGAUGUCCCGUCCCUCGACACCCCCGACCGCAAGUCCGCCUCCCCCAGACAGGUGCACCCAGCGGACUUAGUGGUGUCUGCCGCCCCGUACGCCCGCAGGAGCCUGGAGCGUGGUGGGGGGCGUCUCUCACCCUGUAAGUCCCCCUCCUCCUCCUCCACCACCACCACCACCUCCUCCCCCACCACAAACACCACCACCACCACCACCAUCACCACCUCCGCCUACCCCACAGCACCAAACCUCUGUGUUACUGGCGGGAAAAUAGAGUUUAUUACGCCUCCAGAUUCUACGUUGUCCUCGACGGCGUCUCGGUGCUCUACGCUUAAGCUGUCUCCCUCCACUCACCGCGAGGACGUGUGCCCAAGGUCUGCUGUCCCCGCCCCCGCCCCUGGCCACGCCCCCGACCACGGGGAUCAUGGCACGCCGCCCUCCAGCCUCUCCCGCAGCUCAGGGUCCUCCACGGGCUCCAAGGAACACUGUCUGAAGAUUUACUCAGUAGAGGCUGAUGACAAUGAGGAAGGACAGCCUGUGAGAAACACCUUAGUGGAGGCUGCCAGUCCUCGCAGGAACAAGCACCACAAGCAACAGGAGUUAGAGGACAGCUCACAUGCACGCAGCCGCCACCAGAAGAAUAACGGUGGUGUCAUGGAUUCUGGUCAGAAGGGUUCUGACGGGCACCAAGUGGAAGAGCUGCGUCAGGAGAAUGAGGAGGUGAAGCAACGACUCUCUAACCUCCAGCAUGAAUUUAUUCUGCUGGAGGAGCAGGUUCAAGUGCUGGUGGCAGAGAGGCGGAUAGUGGAGGAACAACAGAGAGCGGAGAAGGAGGCCCAGGAGCAGGCGUACACCACCAAGCUGCAGCAGUACCAGGCCACCAUCGCUGCCCUUGACCAGUGUACUGGCAUUCAGCCCGAGGGGCCUCCCAUACCACAGAGCAAGGAUGAAGAGUGCCACCCCCAGCAGGAGGCCUUUAUUAGUAAUGACUCUGUUGUGCAGAUGUUAGCUGACCGCUGUCAAACUCUGGAACAAGCCAACAAACGACUACAGAACGAAGCUCGUGCUCAGCAACGUCAGUACGAAGUUUGCCUGGACCGCGUCGCCACUCAAGUUGUUCAGGCACUUCUCUCCCAGAAAAGCCACCAGGAGCAGUGUAUCAAGCUGGCCCACCAGGUGCAGGACUUACGGCGACAGAACGCUGCGUUGUCUUCCCUGGUGGGUCCUACAGGGAUGCGUCAGACUCUGCCUUGUUCCCACCGACACCGUUGUCCCCCAGCGGCUCCUCCCACCAAUUUUUUCAGCCUUCCAACGACACUUAGAAGAAACAGACAGCAGCAGAGUGAAGCGUGGCCACAGGAGGGUUGGGUCGCCUCGUGGCACGUCGAGGAGAGCAGCAGGAGCCACUUGGGCGACCACAACUCCUCUCAGGGUCAUUUUCACUCCAGCCUCCAGAUGUUGUCUGAUGCCAGCAUCCCGACCUCCCUCAACCUCACAGACCACAACACCACCACUUCAAGUAGUGUUCGACUAGGAGAAGACUGUUACACCCCUCAGGAGAGACUGGCCUCUACCACAACCACAGUUACCACGGCAAACUCUACCACAACCACCUGUUGGUAUGAUAUUAUCACCUCCCUCAGUGCAGCCAAUUCUCCUCAGGGUACAGCUGUUGCCAGUAACCUAGACACAGUGCUGAAUCCCAGACUAAGUGAUGGUGUAAGUGUGUGGAGCCAGUCUGACCAGGUGAUGUGUGAGGCCGGGAGUGCAAGUACCAGCAGUAGCAGCAGUUCUGACUCCCCAGUUCAGUCUUCUUAUCAUUCACACACAGUAAUAUUCUCAAGAGAAACUGGAGACAGUUCUCCUCCUAAUGGGUGUGAGAGACUGGAGGAAACUAGAGGGUGCGUCACCCCUCCUCCGGCCACUAGCAAGUUCUCUCCACUCUCUCUGGAAUCAACAGUCACUUGUGACAGUAAUUCGCCUGAGCAGAAGAAUUGCCAAGUAUUUCAAGCAAAAAUUGAUAACCUUGCCUUUGAUAAAUCAAAGAUAACAGUUGUCCAUGAGGAAGAGUUGCUGAGUAAUUCUCCAAAUGAAAAGAAUGCAAAUUUAGUAGUGAAUAAUGUAAAUACAGAUGAAAUUUGUAGUAUUCUUCAAGUUAAGGAAAAGUUGAUGAAAUCCUUGACAGAGUCAACCACGAAUGAGUUCACCAUUGAUUUAUCAGUAUUAUCGUGCGAGGAAAAAAACAAAGGAGUGUUGAACAAGAAUCUCACCAAAGUCGGCACAAAGAAUACAGGCAACGAGACCAGCCCGGGGGAAGAGGGGACCACCAAGGACGAGGGCUACUCCACCAUGUCCAGUGACGUACAGGCGGACGUGAAGGACAGCAUCACCACCUGUACUGUCACUACUGUACAGGAGGAACCUCUUCUGGCACCUACACCAGUUGACUUCUCAGACCAAGGCUCUACAAACACUGUGAGAGAAAACCUCUCCAGGAAAGGGUCCAAUAAGAGUGAUAAUAAUUCCCUAGAGAAAACUUUAGUUAAGGAGAGAAAAAUUUCUUCUGCAGGAAACAGCGAGUACUGUGACGGCCUCCGUGUUAUAUACGACGAGGAGGACAACAACUCGGAUGUAUUUUUUAUACCCAUUCAAGAACCAGAAAAUGAGAGUUUGUACAGACAUAGUUACCACAUACCCUCGAGUGUAGAGAGAAAUAAACCGGUUCGUUGUUAUUCUGAUUCUCAGUUAUAUUUAGAGAGAAGAAGUGCUCGUAAUCCUAAACCGAGGACUAGCUUAGAGAGACACGUGUCGGAAAAAGAUCUGGCGGAGAGAUCUCCGUCGACGGAAGAAGUGUUAGAAGAGGCAAAUAAAAAUAGGAGCUUAAAACGGGUGUCGGGACAAGCCAGCCUCAAGAGGAGUCGAAUGUAUGCAAAAGAAGAACACACUACCUCGCACAGUAGUGAAGAACUGUGGCCUUUAGAAGACAACCAGAGAAAAUAUCUCUCUCCUACGUACAGUCACGCAGAACUGGAGGACUGGUCAUUAGACUUAUCUUCAGAGUAUCUUAGUGGGGUGUGUGGGGAGGGGGAAGGAAGUGAGAGUGUGGGAACCAGCGGUGCCCAUCAUGGCUCUCUGCCGUCCAUCCAGGAGGCGACCCCGGAGUUAGAGGAAGACAAUAAUGAGUUCCUCUGGAAUGGUGCUACCUACUUUAAAGCAGAUUUAGAUUUAAAUUGGUCGAGCAAAAAAGAGCUGACAAAAAGUUGGCAACUAGAUCAUUCUAAGGAAAAUCAUAUAGUGUUAUCUCCCAGAUCAGGGUGUUCUGAUCAGCCGGCUGUGUGGUCCAGUAGUGAGCAGCUUUCGUGUUGUUCUGAAGGUGUGUCAAAGUGCAGUUCUGACUUUGAAAACUUUUGUGAACAAAUCUGUAACCUGCCAGAACUGAAGAGAGUUUCAUUUUGUAGCAGUGAAGCGGGCGGUCAGGAAGCGUCAAAGGCUGCCAGCCAGGAAACAUCCAGCGUGGGAGAGCACGAGGACGAGCUGGCAGACGACGUGUGCGUUGAUACUGUUUUUACUAGAGAUUUCUACCGCCUUGUUAAGUUUGAAAGUAAUAAGAGUCUAGCAGCAUCAUCCAAGAGCUUAGCUACAUCUGAUGGAUUAUUAACUAUUGAAAAGUUGCAAGACUUGGAAUCAGGAGGAACACACAAAGAGGCUUUAGCUUCUGUCCUGGGCUUUAUUGCAGAACAACAAAAGUACUGUGAAGAAAGAGAAGCACAAGAUGAAAAAGUUACAAGUCAGUCUAGAGAUGUAUUAAGACUUGCAAAUACAUUAGACAGUUCGGGCUCUCCCUUAGCGUCAGUUGUGUUUCGCGGGACGUUUCCUAAAAUAUCUCCGAGAGAAGGUUCUAGUGAUGCGUGUAAUAGUGCUGAUGACUUUUCUAUGAGAACAUUACCGUCGUUACAGUGGAAACCUAGCAAGAGAGAUUCAUUCAAGACCAAAGUUCCCCCUCCUGUCCCAGCAAAACCAAAAUGUUCCCUUCAUCAAGACCCCUCAAGAGGUGCUCCUAGCAGCAGUAAUUGCAUUCCUGCCAGAUGUCCUGCUACUACUACUACGCUUCCUUCCCUCCCAGUUGUGCCACCUACGACCCUCCCAGUCUUGCCGACCACUACCCCGUCAGUGCCCUUUGUGCCUUCCCGGUCAUCUAGUUUGGCCCCUCAUCAGGUUAUACCUGCUUGUGAAGUGGAGGUGCCACUCUCACAUGUCCUCAAGGUGCCCAUCAGGAGUGCCUCGCACCUUCCUGGUACAAACUCUGUCACCGAGCAACAAACUUCUAGUACAGUGUCAGAUGGACCGUGUCAACACCUUCCAGUACCUGACCAGUGUAGCAGUGUAGCCACUCCCCCGGCAGUAGGUGGUCCCCCGGUGCCCCGCCGUUCAUCUAGCAUGGCCUUCACUAGUAAUGUAUUACCAGUUCCCGAGCAUAAGGUGUCUUUAACCGAUUCUCCUCCAGUACCAAAGCGCAUAACGAGCAGAGCACUGCCCAAGCCUCCUGCAUCACAGCCGAGCUCCUUAUUAAUUAAACAUAAUUCUAAUGGUUGUAACAAACCUCUCGGGGGCAGCUUGGAAGGUAAACGGCGCAGUUUCAUCAAAGAGACAUUGGGGCUGUCUAGUCCCAGGAGACCACAGAGUGAUUACUGUGAAUUGCCCAGCCUGAGUGAAAAUCCUUCAGGGAUGUUGGAGGAGUUACAGAGGAUGGCAAAGGUAGAGGAAGAGGAGGACAAGAAGAGAAGGUUGAGACCCGAAGGCAACAGCGGGCAAGAAGCCACCAGUCCAGGAGACACUGUUGGGCUGGGUACUGGCUGGGUCAGGGUACAGCCUCAUAUAGAUCUCCAGGACCCUCAGGCUCGAGCUAACCUCUUGGACGGAAUGAUGGAGUCGAGUGAAGGCUGCAGCUCAGAGACGGAGGAGGACGAGGUGGCGGGCCAUCACUACUCACAGCUCAGGUCUAUGCAUCGCAGCAGACGAAAACGCAAGGUGGAGUGUUAGUUCCCUCGUAGCUGUACACAACAACUAAUCAACUUUACUGUGUGUUUUGUCGCAGGGCUCGGCCAGGCACAAUGCAUCACAUCGUAGUGGUAACGGCCGAAUAAUUAUCGGAGGUGGAGCCCCUCGUCCCACUGUCAUUGGCCGAAAAGACUUGUUUGUAAGAUUUGGAGAGCAAGAGAGGGCAGCCCUGCAAG